rnacentral:rRNA from 1 species
CCUACGGGGGGCAGCAGUGAGGAAUAUUGGUCAAUGGACGAGAGUCUGAACCAGCCAAGUAGCGUGAAGGAUGACUGCCCUAUGUGUUGUAAACUUCUUUUAUAUGGGAAUAAAAUGUUCCACGUGUGGGAUUUUGUAUGUACCAUAUGAAUAAGGAUCGGCUAACUCCGUGCCAGCAGCCGCGGUAAUACGGAGGAUCCGAGCGUUAUCCGGAUUUAUUGGGUUUAAGGGGAGCGUAGGUGGAUUGUUAAGUCAGUUGUGAAAGUUUGCGGCUCAACCGUAAAAUUGCAGUUGAAACUGGCAGUCUUGAGUACAGUAGAGGUGGGCGGAAUUCGUGGUGUAGCGGUGAAAUGCUUAGAUAUCACGAAGAACUCCGAUUGCGAAGGCAGUUCACUGGACUGCAACUGACACUGAGGCUCGAAAGUGUGGGUAUCAAACAGGAUUAGAUACCCUUGUAGUC